AUUGAACGCUGGCGGCAGGCUUAACACAUGCAAGUCGAGCGGGGGAAGGUAGCUUGCUACCGGACCUAGCGGCGGACGGGUGAGUAAUGCUUAGGAAUCUGCCUAUUAGUGGGGGACAACAUCUCGAAAGGGAUGCUAAUACCGCAUACGUCCUACGGGAGAAAGCAGGGGAUCUUCGGACCUUGCGCUAAUAGAUGAGCCUAAGUCGGAUUAGCUAGUUGGUGGGGUAAAGGCCUACCAAGGCGACGAUCUGUAGCGGGUCUGAGAGGAUGAUCCGCCACACUGGGACUGAGACACGGCCCAGACCCCUACGGGAGGCAGCAGUGGGGAUAUUGGACAAUGGGGGGAACCCUGAUCCAGCCAUGCCGCGUGUGUGAAGAAGGCCUUAUGGUUGUAAAGCACUUUAAGCGAGGAGGAGGCUACUUUAGUUAAUACCUAGAGAUAGUGGACGUUACUCGCAGAAUAAGCACCGGCUAACUCUGUGCCAGCAGCCGCAGUAA
rnacentral:rRNA from 1 species